GCUAAAACGUUUUGUGCCUGAAUUUGUCGGCCAGUUCGAGUUGCUGGUUUACUCUUCGAAAUCGACUUGUUUCGUGAAGGGUUUGUGUUCGAAGACAAGGAAGUGCAUAUUCAAAUUCCAACUUAGUGUAAUACUGUGACAAUAGAAAGUUUAGUGAUUUACUGGGAACGGAAAUAUGGAUCUUUCCGCGUGGCGUUCAGCUCGACCGAAACACAGCGGCUCCGGAAACUACACUAGUAUUCAUGAAAUCAGUAAGAGCAAUGAUAUAAAUCAAUACUUUAUCAAAUAAAAUAACAUAGCAUCAUUGCGUCACUGGACAGGAGUUGCAGUUCCCUCUCCCGUGUAAACACCCGAGAACCUUCUCCCUAAAUGUCAGACACGUGUCGUAAAACCUGGCAUACAUCAUGGCAGAGAUACCGGGACGAAAAGACGCAGCUGACGACGAGAACGAAAACUUCAAAACAUAUCUGCAUGACCUCCUCUCGGACCUGGGGAUACAGCUGAGCCCCGGGGGAAUGGGAAUCGUUGAGAUCGACCACUUACCAUCCGACGAGGAAGUUUCUUGUUCCCUGUUGGCUCCCGUCGAGUCGCCGCCGACGGUUCCCGAAGGCGGAGAAGAAGUGAGGGCGAGGAAAAGGAAGAGAUUCACUGGGACUAUUAAGGCUCACGUGUCAUCUCCUGACCUCUCGUCUGACGAAGCAGACGCAGUGACGUCUCCUGUCCCGAGCCAAGAAGCAGCAGAGCAGCCUAGCCCGUCCUUCAGAAACCCGGAGAAGAAGCCGAAGAUUUACCAGAUUGAAAAACCUUUCAACGACCCGGAAUUAGAGAGGAAGAGAAUCAACGCAAUCACAGCCAAGCAAAACAGAGACAAGAAAAAGAUGGAAAUUGACAGACUGCGCGCGGACGUCAGAAAUCUCAGCCGCGUGAACAGCCAGUGCAGCAAGGCGCUGAAGCGCACGAACGCAGACAUCCAGAAGCUCUAUGAGAAGCUGGAGUCUUCGAGGAAGCACAACUCGCUCCUCCAGGAGAAGAUCAAGCAGAAGGAGAUGGAGAUCCGUGGACAACAGGAGAAGUUCGUGCUCUUCCGCGGCCACCUCGACCUUAUCCUCAGCAGCCUCGAGGACGACGGCCCGGCCAAGAAGCUGAUCGCAAACCUUCUGAAGAAAUUGCCAGAGGAAGCUGAGAUGACCUAGGAGCUGGUCUUUAUCGUCGUCGUGAUGGUACAACAGGCGAAAGAAUAUGUGGAGGUGUAAACUGCUAUAGAUACCACGUUCAGCAACGUUGACAAGUUCCUACUUUUCUCAAGGAGGAGAGAGUGUGCGCUGCACUCUCAUCCGCACAGCCGAUGGAAUUCAGUCUGUGUAAACAGUUCACCGGAAUUGCAGCCCGAGACCGCUGUCUGAAGCGUAUCGCUCUGAACAAAAUCUCUGUCUGGUUUCCGCCUAUCCACAAUCUACCAAAGGCAGCAUCUGGAGCCUCUAGAUGUGCCCACACCAGCAGCUUUCGGGUCAAUGCUGGAAAAGUCAACAGUUAACUAUUCUCGCUUGAACCCUGUAGUUGAAGCGCAUACUCAGCGGCGGCGCAUAAAAGAGAAAAAAAAAGCUUACUUUACUUACUUGUAUUAAAGUUUAGUCAGAGAGAACACGCAGGCGAACCCGGUCCCCUCGCCUGGUAGAUGCCAGUGUGAGCGGGCCCAAGGCACCAGCUUGAUUAUUUUCCGAAUUGAAAGCGGAUUGUCAGAUGGAACCGCUUAGUGGAUGCUAAUAUCUUCGACCUAACGAAAAAAUUGUUUUGUGCUGAAAUACCUUUUUUAAAGUAUAUGUUAUUGUGCACUCAUGAGUUAAUUCAUCUAUUAUAUUUUUUCGAGUACAGUUCUUUCUCAUUAAUUAUGCAAUAUUGUUUGUCAUAUUUACAUUUUUCUGGUUGCGUUUGUUCAUCAAGCUCUUUUUUGUCUCUCUCUCUCUCUGUCUCUCUAUCUCCCCCCCCCCCUCUCUCUCUUUCUCUCUCUGUCUCUCUCUCUCUCUCUCUCUCUCUCUCUCUC
rnacentral:misc_RNA from 1 species